rnacentral:siRNA from 1 species
UUAGUAGGCCCAGGAUAGUUGA